rnacentral:rRNA from 1 species
GGAGUCUAGCAUGUCCGCAAGUCAUUGGGACAAUAUAAUAAACCUAAAGGCAAAAUGAAAGUAAAGGUGUGUUUUACACAUUUAAGGAGGAUAGGCUUGUUCAAUGUAACAGUCUCGCACUCCUGGGGCGUCUCGUUCUCACUUUCUUCAUUUAUUGGGGUUAAGCGAGAUGAGGCGCACCUAGAGCGUAUACGCUGGGACCCGAAAGAUGGUGAACUAUGCCUGGUCAGGACGAAGUCAGGGGAAACCCUGAUGGAGGUCCGUAGCGAUUCUGACGUGCAAAUCGAUCGUAAGAACUGGGUAUAGGGGCGAAAGACUAAUCGAACCAUCUAGUAGCUGGUUCCCUCCGAAGUUUCCCUCAGGAUAGCUGGUGCUCGUAAUUAAUAUAUUUAUAUUUACGAGUCUCAUCCGGUAAAGCGAAUGAUUAGAGGCAUUGGGGUCGAAACGGCCUCAACCUAUUCUCAAACUUUAAAUGGGUGAGAUCUCCGGCUUGCUUGAAUUAUGAAGCCGCGAGAUCGGAUCAGAGUGCCAAGUGGGCCAUUUUUGGUAAGCAGAACUGGCGCUGUGGGAUGAACCAAACGUUGAGUUAAAGCGCCUAAAUUAACGCUUAUGGGAUACCAUGAAAGGCGUUGGUAACUUAAGACAGCAGGACGGUGGCCAUGGAA